rnacentral:lncRNA from 1 species
GGCUCCUGAAAUCCUCUGGUGUGAACUUCUCUCCCAGGGCUGUUGGUGCAGCAUCCACUCUUCUGGCAGUGGGCGCCUGGACCUUAGUUACCCGGGGAGCGUGAGUCAUGUUGCCAUAGUUGAGCUGGCACAUAAAACUGCGAGGACAGAGAUCCAAGGAGUAGACCAACUUACCUGAGUUCACACAGUGGACCUGGGUCUUUCACCUCCCAGCGCAAUGUUCCUAUGUCCUGCCACUGAAGAGACAGGUGGGAGGGAGCUCAAGGUUGGCUUGCCUAACAACCAUUGCUUGAAAGACAAAGCUCCCAAGGAGAGCACAAGAUACCUCACUCAAGACUGCUCUGCAUCACCAGCCAGUGUGAACAGAGCCUGCGGCUGUCAGCA